rnacentral:lncRNA from 1 species
CACAUACUCAAUGUGUUCACAGAUUGGAGCAUAACUUAAACAGUUAUCAGAAAAGUAAAGAGUGAGAAGCCAUGUAGAAAUAAUGAGAGUGAGAAACCUCUCAGAGCAUUCACUUUAUUUGCCUAAAAGAACUCAAAUAGAAGACAAACCCUGUGGAUUUUACAGACAGUGUUCAAUUUGGCAGCCACAGUACACAUAUGCAUGAGACAGUUCUUAGGGAGGGAAAAUAUUGCAUGCAGAGUCUGUGGGCAAGUGUGGAGCUGUGGUAUACCCCUCAGUGGAUGCCAGAGAAUUUGUGUGGAAGAAAGUCUACGUGCAUGAUAUGUGAAGUCUUUUGUACUACUUUUGUACUACUAUCUUCAUGUUGGUACUUCUGAUGAAACUGAAAAUGCCACCAGGGAGAAGCAGCUGAACUUCAAGGACCACAGAGGGCCAAGUGCAGGAGUAAGAGGCUGGCGUGCUGACAGUGGCCAAGGGCAUUGGAGGGAAGGACCUGUCAUCACUGGGCCAAGGAAGGAACUCCAGACUGCCUACUUCCAGAGGGCCUGCUGAGGAAUUUUAGCUUGAACUUGCCUGCCUUGACUAGGGCUUUCUGAGCAGCAGAUGAUUCUGCAAUGGUGUUAGUCCAGGCCUGGUUCUGCAUGACAUUGACCAUACUGUGCACCCUGGGGUCAUUAUGUCUUGGGCUUCAAGGGGCUCCAUGGGCUCCAGGGGGCUCCAUGUGACACUGCACAGAGCUCUCUCUAGGUCACCUGGAUGUGUCUCUUCCUAGGAACCCCAAAGAGCUCUCUCAACAAACACACCCACGAGUUCCAGGAGUGAGGCUGCAGGGAACAGCCUCACUCUCAGAGGGGAUACAGAAUUGUUCCACUGGACAAGGGCUGGGAUCGUCAUAGGAUGCCGUUGGCCUGUGGUUUCCAACAGAGGUGCAGUUCAUUGAACUGUGGUCUACAGUCCAUUCUCUAACUUGGGGACCCUUGAAGAAGUGUGGAAUCAUGACAACAACCCUGUUGGGAGACACUAUUAUUCCCAUCACAUGGAUGAGCACACGGAGGCAAAAGGAAGUUAUAUGAUUGUCUGAGAUCACCCAGUGAAGACUGUGUGGCUGGGAGUUGUCCCCAGUGUUAUCUGCACGCUGCUUCCUUUUGAUGCCUGGCCCUUCUUUAUCAAAAGAAGCAUUGGCAGAAUCUGGGUGUUUA